rnacentral:rRNA from 1 species
AUACGGAGGGGGCUAGCGUUGUUCGGAAUUACUGGGCGUAAAGCGCACGUAGGCGGCUUUGCAAGUUAGAGGUGAAAGCCCGGGGCUCAACUCCGGAAUUGCCUUUAAGACUGCAUCGCUAGAACACGGGAGAGGUGAGUGGAAUUCCGAGUGUAGAGGUGAAAUUCGUAGAUAUUCGGAAGAACACCAGUGGCGAAGGCGGCUCACUGGACCGUUGUUGACGCUGAGGUGCGAAAGCGUGGGGAGCAAACAG